rnacentral:lncRNA from 10 species
GAGCCUUGAGGACAAGGACCGGCUGGGGUUCUGGAAGUUUCGGGAGCUGACAGCAGACACUGGUCUCUACCUGGCGGCCCGGCCUGGCGGUGUGCCGAGCUCCUGAAGGAGAGCUGAUUUAAUGGAGUUCCUGCCUCAGACCACAAGGUUCGGAGCGCCCGCCCACCCCUGCCCCUCCUGGGCACCCUGCCCACCAGGUCACCUGCACCUGCUCUGAAU